rnacentral:rRNA from 1 species
AGCAGCCGCGGUAAUUCCAGCUCCAAUAGCGUAUAUUAAAGUUGUUGCAGUUAAAAAGCUCGUAGUUGAAUUUCGGGACUAAUAUGUCGGUCGUACUUUGUACGUACUAGCAUUAUUGGUUUCUCCCUUCUGACGAACCACGAUGUCAUUAAUUUGGUGUCAUGGGAAAUCAGGACUGUUACUUUGAAAAAUUAGAGUGUUUAAAGCAAGCUCGCGCUUGAAUACAUUAGCAUGGAAUAAUGAAAUAGGACGUUUGAUUCUAUUUUGUUGGUUUCUAGGAUCGACGUAAUGAUUAAUAGGGAUAGUUGGGGGCAUUAGUAUUCAAUUGUCAGAGGUGAAAUUCUUGGAUUUAUUGAAGACUAACUACUGCGAAAGCAUUUGCCAAGGAUGUUUUCAUUAAUCAAGAACGAAAGUUAGGGGAUCGAAGACGAUCAGAUACCGUCGUAGUCUUAACCAUAAACUAUGACCGACUAGGGAUCGGAUGAUGUUAAUUUUUAAUGUACU